rnacentral:lncRNA from 1 species
AUGAACCUCCUCCUCCCAUGCUUUUCAGCUUUCCAGUGUUGCCUUAUGUUCAAAAUAAGGCACUAUAUGUUAGCCUUGAGUCUCUUGCUCAUGGAUCAUCCCCAGGCGAGACAGAGGACCAAAGGAGAGACAGAGGAUUCGGUGCCAGCUGGAUUGCAUGGAAAGGCCCAGGCUGAGGCUUGCUAUACGCUUUUGGCAGAGCCAAACUUUGUUGCAGCAUCACACUGCAUCUGCCAUACUGCUCCAGUAUCCAAGCUAUGCGUAGCAAAAGCUGACAGUUGCAUGGGGUUAGCAAGAAACUUUCUCUGCUGGUAA